GGUCCCUACGGGGCGCAGCAGUGAGGAAUAUUGGUCAAUGGGCGCGAGCCUGAACCAGCCAAGUAGCGUGAAGGAUGACUGCCCUACGGGUUGUAAACUUCGUGAAGAAAGGAACAAAGUGAGGCACGUGUGCCUUUUUGUAUGUACUUUAUGAAUAAGGAUCGGCUAACUCCGUGCCAGCAGCCGCGGUAAUACGGAGGAUCCGAGCGUUAGCCGGAUUUAUUGGGUUUAAAGGGAGCGUAGAUGGGUUGUUAAGUCAGUUGUGAAAGUUUGCGGCUCAACCGUAAAAUUGCAAUUGAUACUGG
rnacentral:rRNA from 1 species